rnacentral:SRP_RNA from 1 species
UCCCGGUCUCCUCGCAAUGCAAGAUUGUAAACCCCGCCAGGUCCGGAAGGAAGCAACGGUAGCAGUUAAGCAUGUGCCGAGGUAAGGCUGGAUAGG